rnacentral:rRNA from 1 species
GACGAACGCUGGCGGCGUGCUUUACACAUGCAAGUCGAGCGAUGAGAUCCCUUCGGGGAAGGAUUAGCGGCGAACGGGUGAGGAACACGUGAGGAAUCUACCUUCAACACUGGGAUAACUCCGGGAAACCGGGGCUAAUACCGGAUACGAGACCUGCAGGCAUCUGUGGGUCUGGAAAGUUUUUCGGUUGAAGAUGACCUCGCGGCCUAUCAGCUUGUUGGUGAGGUAAUGGCUCACCAAGGCGACGACGGGUAGCCGGCCUGAGAGGGCGACCGGCCACACUGGGACUGAGACACGGCCCAGACUCCUACGGGAGGCAGCAGUGGGGAAUAUUGGGCAAUGGAGGGAACUCUGACCCAGCGACGCCGCGUGCGGGAUGAAGGCCUUCGGGUUGUAAACCGCUUUCAGCAAGGAAGAAGCGAAAGUGACGGUACUUGCAGAAGAAGCACCGGCUAACUAUGUGCCAGCAGCCGCGGUAAUACAUAGGGUGCAAGCGUUGUCCGGAAUUAUUGGGCGUAAAGAGCUCGUAGGUGGUUCGUCACGUCGGAUGUGAAACUCUGGGGCUUAACCCCAGACCUGCAUUCGAUACGGGCGAGCUAGAGUGUGGUAGGGGAGACUGGAAUUCCUGGUGUAGCGGUGGAAUGCGCAGAUAUCAGGAGGAACACCAAUGGCGAAGGCAGGUCUCUGGGCCAUUACUGACACUGAGGAGCGAAUGCGUGGGGAGCGAACAGGAUUAGAUACCCUGGUAGUCCACGCCGUAAACGGUGGGCACUAGUUGUGGGAACCUUCCACGGUUUCUGCGACGCAGCUAACGCAUUAAGUGCCCCGCCUGGGGAGUACGAUCGCAAGAUUA